AUGGCUGUCGUCAGCUCGUGUCGUGAGAUGUUGGGUUAAGUCCCGCAACGAGCGCAACCCUCGUUCUAUGUUGCCAGCGGGUUAUGCCGGGGACUCAUAGGAGACUGCCGGGGUCAACUCGGAGGAAGGUGGGGAUGACGUCAAAUCAUCAUGCCCCUUAUGUCUUGGGCUUCACGCAUGCUACAAUGGCCAGUACAAAGGGCUGCGAUACCGCAAGGUGGAGCGAAUCCCAAAAAACUGGUCUCAGUUCGGAUUGGGGUCUGCAACUCGACCCCAUGAAGUCGGAGUCGCUAGUAAUCGCAGAUCAGCAACGCUGCGGUGAAUACGUUCCCGGGCCUUGUACACACCGCCCGUCAAGUCACGAAAGUCGGUAACACCCGAAGCCGGUGGCCCAACUCGCAAGAGGGGGAGCCGUCGAAGGUGGGACUGGCGAUUGGGACUAAGUCGUAACAAGGUAGCCGUACCGGAAGGUGCGGCUGGAUCACCUCCUUUCUAAGGAGCACUGGCACCCCUUGGGGUGUCCAGGUAGCCCGCCACGGCCGUUUGUGUUGUGGGGGUUGCUCACGGGUGGAUCAUCGAUUAUUUGGCAUCGCGCACCUGGUGCGCCGGCAAGUACUGGUCUGUUCCACCCCCUUUGGGGGUGGAGGGGCCGUGGAAAGCGGGUGGGCUGUGGUGGGUGGUGUCUGGCACGUUGUUGGGUCCUGAGGGCUCGGGCGCAAGCUCGGCUUUCAAGUGGGCCUCACCGCUUUCCCGUACCGCCUGUCCUCCUUUUUCUUUGUGGGGGUGUGGGCCGGCGGGGGCGUGUGGUGGGGUGCCGCCCGUAUUUUGAGAACUACACAGUGGACGCGAGCAUCUUUGUAGCCAAGUUUUUAAGGGCGCACGGUGGAUGCCUUGGCACCAGGAACCGAAGAAGGACGUAGGAAUCUGCGAUAAGCCACGGGGAGUCGAUAACCAGACUGUGAUCCGUGGAUUUCCGAAUGGGGAAACCCGG
rnacentral:sRNA from 1 species